rnacentral:lncRNA from 1 species
UAGAACCUUCAUUGGGCUUGGAUUGGAAGGGAUUUAGCUCUCUUUUGGAGCUUGAGAGAGAUUUCCUACACAUUAGGUGAGUUUUAGCCCUUUUGCUAAGUUUGUUAAAGUUUGAUCUUAUAGUUGAUCGUAAUGCCCGUGUAUCUCUUCGCUCGAUACUUUUAGGGUAUUUUGAGACUCGUGGACAACUUUAUUCGGCG